CCAGACUCCUACGGGAGGCAGCAGUGAGGAAUAUUGGUCAAUGGGCGGGAGCCUGAACCAGCCAAGCCGCGUGAGGGAAGAAGGUACAGCGUAUCGUAAACCUCUUUUGUCAGGGAACAAAGGCGGGGACUAGUCCCCGGAUGAGGGUACCUGAAGAAGUAGCAUCGGCUAACUCCGUGCCAGCAGCCGCGGUAAUACGUAGGGGGCAAGCGUUAUCCGGAUUUACUGGGUGUAAAGGGGGCGCAGACGGCGAUGCAAGCCAGGAGUGAACGCCCGGGGCCCAACCCCGGGACUGCUCUGGAAACUGCGGCGCUGGAGUACGGGAGGGGCAGGCGGAAUUCCUGGUGUAGCGGUGAAAUGCGUAGAUAUCAGGAGGAACACCGGCGGCGAAGGCGGCCUGCUGGACCGUGACUGACGUUGAGGCUCUAGAGCGUGGGGAGCAAACAGGAUUAGAUACCCGAGUAAU
rnacentral:rRNA from 1 species